GUGACGGCAUCAUCGCUCCGAUCCGCUUGAGCCGUUUGAUCGCGUUUCGAGUAAUAAAGUUUUUGUGAAUCAGCUUAGAAACACGGUACGCGCUCCGCGAUACGGUUAACCGAGUCGAGUCAGUUUAAGUUCCACGUCGGACGAGGAGGCAGCUUACGUCGGACCAGUACAACGACCUUCCGCGCUCCCAAUCUUGGAAAGGAAAAGCUGAAAUGAACGUCCAGGAAGAUGGAAGGGACGACCAUGAAGGACGCAGGCGAUCGUGUCAAGGAUUUUGUUCGGAAACUUAAGAAGACGUCGGUGGAUGUAAAGAGGACGAGAAAGAAAAGAAGCAGCAGCCUACUGUCUGAGCGAAGGGCGACGUUACGAGCUUUCGAAUGGGAGGUUACAGGGUGAAGAAAGUCCGAAGGCUUACACCGGAGCAGGGGAUUUCCGCGCGAAAUCAAGAUCCCGGUUUUAAGGCGGGGACACCGGGUUAAUGGCGUGUGCAUUAUUCUGAUAAAUCGACCCCACGGCUGGCGUCAAACCUGACUCCGUCGUGACAGGAACCUUGGUCAAUCGUAUCUGUACCUCUACGCAAGACGUUCGAUCCCCUCGCCAUGGUUCUUCACGUAGAAAUUUCAUACCAACGAAUCAAAUCAUUUUAUCGUACCUUUUCAUUUUUCCCAAUUCUAUCCGAGACUUUCUUAAACGGGAAGAUGCAAUUAAACUUGCAUCAUUUUCCAGUAAUCGAGUCAAGCUUAAAAUCGUACAAAAAUUUGUAUCGCGUAGAGAAAAAGAAUAAUUCGACUGUCUCGAAUUUAUAGGGACACUGAUUAAGUAACUUAAUAUCCAGAUCGGCAGAUAAAGACCUUAAGUUCCGGCGGUCGCGAGCCACGAGAUGGAUGCGAACGCGGCAAAAUAUUCGGAACGAAUGAACGGCGUCGCCGUGGACACGGCUACCGUGCAUUUGUCCAGUUCCGUGGCCGUACGACCGGAUCGUAUUAAUCCGCCGCUAAUGAGUACCGCCGCCGUGGCACGCAGCCGCGCCGAUCUGCCUCGCACGGCCAGAUCAUCCCCGGGAGGAUACAAACUCGGAACCUCGGGCUCAUUACGUCCCGACGUAGCGUGUGCUUCGUGACCGGCUCAAUAUUUAACGCGUCUCGAGCCAUUCCAUCACCUUUCGAUAUCUCGACACCUGGCUCGAGGAUUAGGGAACGACCGGCUCGAGCCUCGUGACUCGAAUCGAUUGCCGUUGAUUACCGAUUCUAUUACGAAACGCUUGCCGAUUGGCCGAGCCGCGCUCUCAAUUUCCACGAAAAUCUGUACGAACCAGAUUAAUGGAAAAGAUUUUGUCAACCUUGCGAGCGAUUCGAGAGAUUUGAAGUUAGAACAAUUCUGAUAAAAAUACAUAAAUGGCAGAAAAAUAAUCGGGAAUCUUAAUUGAGAAAACGUGUAAACGCUGCUUACGGUCAUAUUCGAUAGGAAAAAUCGUAAUUUAUUUCUGUAAACUAUAGUAAUGUAUGUACGUUAAACUAAGAUUUUGAGAAUUCUUAGCAUGCACUAUCGGAGCUAAAAUAUAUUUCAGGACACGUUAAUUAACCGAGAAGUCACAAUUACGGUUCGAGAGUGAGUCGGGUCCGAUAAAAAUCCGAAUUCCCUGCAUCUCGUUAUCUGCUGGAUCUGUAAGUAUUGAUUCGGUCUCGGUUGCUCGGUCCGGCCCGAUAAUUAGUCAAUCAGUCAGCCGAACGCGUGUUGCUUUUAUUGAAAUAUGUCGUGGACCCUCUUAAAAAGCGAGUCCACGAUUCAUUCAUGCCGGCCCAUUCCCGUCCCGUUUCCCUUUCGCUUCGCCCGGCAACUUUUACGCGUACUUCGUCAUUAAUCGUACGAUUAAGCCGUCCGAUAACGCCCUCUCUUCGCGGCCGUACAACCAGACGACUCCCUAGAAACUUGUGGUUCCAAAGUGGUUCCCGAGGAACCUGGGACCGCCUACCUGGAUCCACGAUCUCGAUUUUUCACGCUGGGACUCGAGAACGUUUCGGCGGAUACGAAUAUACACCCUUAUCGAUUCCGCGAACCCGAACGAUUCCUUGCUCACCCUAACAAUUAAUUGCAACGCCGAAUUAAGGUCCGGGAAUCUCAGUAAAAUAGAAUACUUUGUAGAUCUCGAAAUUCAAAUGAAAAUGAAAGUAGAGCAACCGAUUUUACUAAAAAGCUUUUAAAAGAACUAAGCUCUUCUCUUCGGAUUCGAGUUACCAGGAACGGAAGUAACAAAUAAUCGGUCCAAGGUGGCAAGGCAAACCGCGCGUAACGUGAAAGCGGGAAAAGCAGGAGGGAAUCGAGAGAAACUUUACACGUGGAGUAACAGAGAACGAGAGAUCUAGGAAUGGAUGCAAGGAAAAUAGAGAAACGCGACGGAUGGUCGCGCCCCAUAUAAUCUCCGCGAUGCUUCUCGAGGUUUCUUCUCUCCGCUUUGGAGAUCAUCUCGGAACAGAGUAGAAGAAUCAUUGUAGCUGUUCCAUUGUCGUCGAGUUUGUCACGUUAGGACGAAACGGCCGUUCUUUUCCGAUAGGAAAUUGAUUACCACAUAGAUUUUGAUUAAUUCGAGAAUUAAUUGCAAGUAGAAUUAAUGAUUCUAGAAGGUAAAAUCCUUCAUACCAGGUCUUGUAUUCCGCACGUAUUUAAUUUUAUAAAUCACCAGGCGGAGUAUCGAUGUCAGAAACUACAUAUGUUUCUAAUUCAGACUUGUGAGUCUACAUUCAUUAUGAUUUAUUCAUUGGAUGGGUUUAUGAAAUUAAUUCACGAGGCGGUUGAAAAUCGAUUAAAAAGGUAGUUUCUUCACGGUGACGCCUAUGGAUGGUUCGUAUAUCGUGGAUGCAUGUACACGUUCUAUAUACAGUGGUACCGAAUUUGCCCGGCCAAAGCAAACCGUAUGUCCGGACAUCGGCACGAUUUAUCGCGUUGACACGUGUCCCUUAUGCCGAGACGCGUCCCCCGACCCCGGCGUGCGCGGGCCUCUCUUUUAACCAUGAUUAAAAUACAUUCUCAAGGAUGGAACGUCCCGAAUUUUCUACGAACCAGUUAAACACAAUAAAAAUUGAUAACUCAGCAAAUCUCCGAGGACUUUAUUAAACGCGAAAUGAAAAUGUAAACGCGUUGCCUUUGUACAUUGAAAAAAUGGAAAUCCGAGUUAUUUGAUUAUUAGAAAGUAUGUCAUAAAAUGUUUGCCAAUGUAAGAAUAAAAUCGUCGCAAAUCUA